rnacentral:rRNA from 1 species
UCCCUUAGAGUUUGAUCCUGGCUCAGGACGCACGCUGGCGUCGUGCUUAACACAUGCAAGUCGAACGGUAAGGCCCCAGCUUGCUGGGGUACACGAGUGGCGAACGGGUGAGUUUCCGUGGGUGACGUGCCCCGCACUUCGGGAUAAGCCUGGGAAACUGGGUCUAAUACCGGAUAGGACCGCACCGUGAGGGUGUGGUGGAAAGUUUUUCGGUGUGGGAUGGGCCCGCGGCCUAUCAGCUUGUUGGUGGGGUAAUGGCCUACCAAGGCGGCGACGGGUAGCCGGCCUGAGAGGGUGGACGGCCACAUUGGGACUGAGACACGGCCCAGACUCCUACGGGAGGCAGCAGUGGGGAAUAUUGCACAAUGGGCGGAAGCCUGAUGCAGCGACGCCGCGUGGGGGAUGACGGCCUUCGGGUUGUAAACUCCUUUCACCAUCGACGAAGGUUUUCUGACGGUAGAUGGAGAAGAAGCACCGGCUAACUACGUGCCAGCAGCCGCGGUAAUACGUAGGGUGCGAGCGUUGUCCGGAAUUACUGGGCGUAAAGAGCUCGUAGGUGGUUUGUCGCGUCGUCUGUGAAAUUCCGGGGCUUAACUCCGGGCGUGCAGGCGAUACGGGCAUAACUUGAGUACUGUAGGGGAGACUGGAAUUCCUGGUGUAGCGGUGAAAUGCGCAGAUAUCAGGAGGAACACCGGUGGCGAAGGCGGGUCUCUGGGCAGUAACUGACGCUGAGGAGCGAAAGCAUGGGUAGCGAACAGGAUUAGAUACCCUGGUAGUCCAUGCCGUAAACGGUGGGCGCUAGGUGUAGGGGUCUUCCACGACUUCUGUGCCGUAGCUAACGCAUUAAGCGCCCCGCCUGGGGAGUACGGCCGCAAGGCUAAAACUCAAAGGAAUUGACGGGGGCCCGCACAAGCGGCGGAGCAUGUGGAUUAAUUCGAUGCAACGCGAAGAACCUUACCUGGGCUUGACAUAUACGGGACCGGGCCAGAGAUGGUCCUUCCCCUGUGGCUCGUAUACAGGUGGUGCAUGGUUGUCGUCAGCUCGUGUCGUGAGAUGUUGGGUUAAGUCCCGCAACGAGCGCAACCCUUGUCUUAUGUUGCCAGCACGUAAUGGUGGGGACUCGUGAGAAACUGCCGGGGUCAACUCGGAGGAAGGUGGGGAUGACGUCAAAUCAUCAUGCCCCUUAUGUCCAGGGCUUCACACAUGCUACAAUGGUCGGUACAGUGGGUUGCGAUGCCGUGAGGUGGAGCUAAUCCCUGAAAGCCGGUCUCAGUUCGGAUCGGGGUCUGCAACUCGACCCCGUGAAGUCGGAGUCGCUAGUAAUCGCAGAUCAGCAACGCUGCGGUGAAUACGUUCNCCGGGCCUUGUACACACCGCCCGUC